GGCAAGGGGAGUCAAGAGGACGCAAAGGUGCAACUUAAAGGCAUAUUGGGUGUGGAUAAUGAAGCUCUGAGUGAACGAUACUUGGGCCUCCCAACACUGGUUGGAAGGUCUAAAGAUGACACUUUUAAAUAUGUCAUGGAGAGCUCGAAAGGAAAGGUUUCUGGAUGGAAGGGCCAGGGUUUAUCAAAGGCUGCGAGAGAAAUACUGGUCAAAUCUGUACUCCAAGCGACACCUACUUACACCAUGAGUUGUUUUCAUCUCACAAAGAAAAUGUGCCGGAACCUGUCUUCGAUCUCGUCGAAAUUC
rnacentral:rRNA from 1 species